UCUUUGAAAGCACGCGAGUUUACAGUACUUUUGGUUAGGAUUAGGGUUAGGUUUAGGGUUAGGGUAAGGUUUAGGGUUAGGGGUUGGGUUAGGGUGAUGUAACACUAAACAAUUAAGGCUGGUAGCUAUCCGGUAUUCUGUAUGCGUACCC